rnacentral:lncRNA from 1 species
UGUGUAAAAACACACUUAUCAAAUCCCCCAAACUUAAACUAUUGUUUGUCCUCAAACAAUGCAGUGACUCAGAGUUAAACUAACAUGGCUUAAUAGCUUGUCGUGUCUCAGGAUUGGAACUCAGCAAUACAUUAGAACAAUAUCAAUAUUGCAAGAAUAAAAUUAACCUUUACUCGUCAGUUGCAAUACUCAACGUGUGUGUGUGAACUCAUGCCAACUUAUCAAGCUUAUGAAUGGUUUGUUCCCGACCCAUAAUGGUCAAAUUUAUCCUUACAUCACUCGAGAGAUACACAAAUCCCCCAAACUUAUUCUUUUCACUCAGUUAUCUUGGGGUGUUUUCUAAGGUUAGGAGUUUAACAACUAUAAUCCUUACCCUCUCUUAGUUUGGAUAGAUCUCACCCUUACUAGUACACAUAUCAACAAGUAGAGACUCUCUUUAAUUUGAUUGUUUCAACC